rfam:Stegodyphus mimosarum contig43066, whole genome shotgun sequence.
ACCUUCGUGGUGUAGUGGUCAGCACACUCGGCCCGUGUUCGAGAGGUCCGUGGUUCGAGUCCCGGCCGAGGGUA